GACGAAGGUGGCGAGCGUUGUUCGGAAUCACUGGGCCUAAAGCGCACGUAGGCGGUGACGUAAGUCGGGUGUGAAAUCCCUCGGCCUAACCGAGGAACUGCGCCCGAUACUGCGUUGCUUGAGGACCAGAGGGGUGCAUGGAAUUUCCGGUGGAGCGGUGAAAUGCGUUGAUAUCGGAAGGAACUCCGGCGGCGAAAGCGAUGCACUGGCUGGUUUCUGACGCUGAGGUGCGAAAGCCAGGGGAGCAAACGGG
rnacentral:rRNA from 1 species